UUUGGAUUAGGGAUGUGCAAAGACUUUGUUCAGUUCUGACAGAUUCUGUGACAGAGUACGUAUUUGGCUGCCACAAAGUCAUGUUGUGGUGUAGGCUUCAAAGUGAGUUUUUGGGAAAGAAUGAGGAUCAGUUUGGAAUCGGUCAUCUUAUUACUUAUAGUACUAUCACAUAGGUCAUGGCCACAUUCCUUAGCUUCUCAAGCCAUACUCAAAUUUUCAGCAAGUGACUGCUGAGUAUCUAGAACGUGCCAGGAGCCAUUCUAGGCUUGGACUAAGAUUCAGCCCUUGAGAAGCCUGUCUGUUAUCUGGGAAGACUGCAAACAAACACUAUACAAAGCUGGAUAAUAGGGAGUAUAUGCUGUGGGUGUGCUAUUUUACAUGGAAUGACUAGAGAGGAUCUUGAAGAAGAGAUGACAUUUGGGUGAGUCAGGGAAGGUAUUUAAGAGAAUAAUGUCCCAAGCAGUGGAACAUCAAGUCCAAAUGCAAGAGUGUACCUGGCAUGCUUCGGGAACAGUAUGUGGCUAAUGCCUGAUGCCCUUGAGUGGAGAUAACAAGAGAGAGUGGAAGAAAAUGAGUUCAGAAAGGGAGCAGGGAGUCACAGGUAAAUGAUGUAUUCAUAGGAUGCUGAGCUGUGAGGUGGCGUGAUCUUAACUGUUUCAUAAAAGGACCACUUUGGCUGCUGUCCUAGAUUUAAGAUUUGUUUAUUUGAGAGGAAGAUUUAAAGACAGAGGGAGAGACAGAGUGAGGUCAUCCAUCCACUAGUUUACUCCCCAAAUGGCCGCAAUGGCCAAAACUGGGCCAAUUUGAAGCCAGGAGCCAUGAUCUUCUUCGGGGUGUCUCAUGUAGGUUCAGGGGACUAAGCACUUGAGCCAUCUUCUACUGCUGUCCCGGGCCAUAAAUAGAGAGCUGGAUCAGAAGAAGAGCACCUGGGACAUGAACUGGCACCCAUAUGGAAUGCCAAUGCUGCAGGUGGAGGCUUACCUACUAAGCAGAGUGCCAGCACCUCUAUCAGUGUAUUUUUUAAAACUGACUAACAAGUCCUUAUUUAUAGCCAGAAUCAAGGCCAGAUUGACAAAUGGGAGUGGUCAGGACAAAGGAGAGGGAGAAGUGUGGUCAGUGAGGAAACAAUCAGACAGGAGAGCUGUGUUGCAGAUUUUAACUGACGGAAAUGUCUGAAGAGGGAGGAGGUGUCUAGUCUAAUACUGCCGAGUGGAAGGAAUGACGGUGUAUGUCCGUCUAUGUGGAGAGCACUGUUCACCCAGAGCAGAUGCGAUGGAGAGGUGAGGAUGAAAGACUGAUUGAGGAGCUACAAGAGAGGAGAGAAGUAGAGAGAGCAAGAUCACCUCUAUCCAGAGCCCUUGUGCUAUUUGGGAGCAGAGGAAUGGGUAGGAAGUGGAACAGGAUGUGUAGUUGAAAGAGGAGGAAUUUUUAUCUCUUUUUAUAGGAGUUCUUAAAGUAUAUUUGCAUCAUCAUGAGACUUAUCCAGUAAUUAGGAAGGGAUUGAUCGGGCAAGAGAAAAGAAUGUUCCAACAGAUUGUCUUUAAUGGCGGCCGAGGUACUUGAUGCCAGUGCAGAAGUGAGGUGGGUAGCUGUGGACUGGAGCCUAAGCAGGGCUUUCCCAGGUAAUGGGAGAGAAGGCAGUGUGAGGUGCAGCCUCAGGAAGGUGACAAGUGAUGGUGGAAGUGUUUCUCAGAUGAACUUUGCCUUUCUUCUGGGUUGGGUAGAAUAGGCAGCCAGGGAAGGGUUUGUGUUAGACUUCUGAGGGAAGGAAAUACCUGGAGUCUAGGAGGAAGGGGAAGUGAAUGGACCAGGACCCCACAAUAUUAGUGGCCUUGAAUUUAAUGUGUGCUGGUUGGUUAACACUCUCCUGUAAUGUUCUCUUUCGACCAUCAGCAGUGUGGGUACUGAUUCAGUAUAUGUGAAAUGAGUCAUCAAGAGAAUUUAUUUUUACUGGGGUUCAGGUCUAGCAAAUGAAUACAACAAACAAGACAGGAGUGAGAUUUCUGGGUGAAUAGAAGGAAGCACUAACAGUGAUGAACCAUGUAAUCUCACAUUGAUGAGAGAACACUUAGGACAGGAAGCAGAUGAGAGCAGGUGUUCAGUAAGUAUAAUUCUGGUCUAAAUGGGGUUGAAGAAUAACUGGAGUCUGGAGACCAGUAUGUUGGAAAGAUAAAAGCUGAUGGCCAGGAAGGAGAUUGCUUAAAAGUGAGUUUAUUGAGAAGGUACAGAGUUUUGGUCAUCUAUAUGUGUAUGACCGUGGGUGAGAGAGAUUGGAAUGGUGAAGGAGUCAGGGGGAACCGAACAGAGAGACCAGGCGAUUGGACGGCUUCCUACGAAGAUACCAAAACCACCAGGAUCCAUGGUGGAGAGAAGAUUGAAGAGAAUGACCAAUCCUGUUCAGACCUUUGAGAUUUUAGUUCUUUCUGUAAUUUGAUAUGGGCCCUGUGUUGAACAUGCGAGGAAUGGAUGUCUUCUCCCAUGCUCUGAACUGUCUCUUUGUUCGUAGCAAGAAGAAGACACAAAAUGAGAACAAAACUUGAUUUUAUCUCAGAAGGGAAGCAGAGUGUCAUGGUUACAAGAAACACAACUCGGGACAUAAAAUGCACCAUUUAUGUGAAUCCCAAGGGUCUUCUGCCAAGUAAGCAAUCUUUCAAACUCUCAAGUCUUGUGUAAAUUACUUCUGUAUAGAGCGAUUUCUAGAAUAGCCAACUUGAACAAAUGCUUUCUAGCAACACAAAAAUCCAUCUGACAAAAGACAGUGAUGUGAGAGAGAAGCCACAUCAUCUUGUUUCCAGCCCUUUUUUGGAGAACUGAGGGAACACUUAAUGGCAAUUUCACCUGGAAGCUUAAUUUUAACUGAGGAACUCCAGGAUGUCACACAGUAGGCAAGAAAACCAAGACAGCCAAGUAUUAGAAGUUUUUCUAGAAAGAUCCACACCAAUGGGCAAUUAAUAAGGCAUGAUUGAGAGGAAACAGAGGAGAACAUAAUGUUAAAAAAGGAAAUAUAGAGAAGUAAGAAUGAAAAGGGAGGAAACUCAUUUAGCUCGUUUUUAUAAGGGAAACAAAAAUGGAAUUAGAACCUUUUAGUAAAAAUACUUUCAAAACUAAAUCCAUUUUCUAGACUUCCUAUGACAAUUAAUUAAAAAGAAA